rnacentral:ncRNA from 1 species
UUUCUAGCGCAUGACCUUAAACAGUGAUGUUUGAGGUGACGAGGAAGAGGUUGUCGAAUUUUCAGCGGAUGCCUCUCGGCUGGUCUCGGUCGAUAAAUGCUUUUAAAGCCUUCAGGUAACUGGAGGGACAAAUG